rnacentral:lncRNA from 1 species
AGAAAGGAGAUGAUAAGCUAGGAGAAUGAGAAUUACCUGAUAGAACAGGCUGGAUGCCGUUGAGAAUUACGGAUAAAGCAAGAAAAGGGCUGAGUUCAGCAACGGAGUCGGCGACGGUGAAGCCGCCAGUGAAGGCAUAGCUCAAGACAUUGCGCAGUAUGAGGACAAGAAUGGCCAGAAUCACAGAGAGUGCGAGUGAAAUUGAAGUUACCACAAUCACUGAGAACUUACACGAUUUUGGAUGUGCUGCACCCAACUCAUUGCCCACCCUAACACUGUACGUACGUGUGUAUUUCACCAAUUCAGCGCAAAUAAUUGUAACUAAUUAGUGGAAAACACUAAUCAAUUACGUACCUUGCUGCCGCAUUGAAACCCACAGCAAUCAUGAACACCCAUCCAGCAAUCGUCAUGCUGCAUUAGUGGACACAUGUAAUAGCAUGCGGUUGCAUUGAAUUACUUUGGCAACAUGAUGCCGAUGAGCAUAUUAAAGAGAUUAAACAGACAAAUAAUUCGUAUCUUACCAGAUGGAGAGAGAGUCGAGCACAAUUUCAGCAUUAUCGAGCAACCCAGCAAUCAAAACAAUGAUCUGAUAGUACCAAAUCUCGAGGCACAGCAUUACAGCCGAUGCUGUUGACAAUUUCAGGAAGUCCCACAGCCCAGAAAACGCCUGUAAGCUAAACCCAGUCCAUGUCUUUUUGCACCUUUCACUCAACAAAAUGUACACGAAUUGUGCCGCCACUAUAAUCCACCACGACAAACUUAACACCAACGAUGCCCCUAGAAGUCCCCAGCCUAGCUUGAAAAUCGCAACCCAACUUAGGAGCACAUGCACCACAAGUGUUGCCGCUGAGAUGUAUGCACUUGGCGAGAUUAUGCUUUGUGCUUGUAGGAACUUUUGUAUGGGGAAAUUGACGGCGUAGGCAAAUAUCUGUGGGAUUAGACCGAAAACGAAGAUUGCUGCUGCUGAUGCAAUGGCACUUGAUUCCCCUAGCAGGAGCAAGAUUUGUUUUGAGAAUAUGUAGAUGACCAUGAGUAGUAUCCCAGUUGCCGUGAGUAUGACUGCCGAUCUUUGAAGAUAAACGCCUAGCAUGUCGUACUUCUGUGCCCCGUAAGCUUGGCCACAUAAAGUUUCAGUAGCGCUUCCCAUUCCCAACUGUGUAAAAAUAAUAUUUUAAUUGUAAUUGGACAGUAAUUAUAUAUAUACACACACAUAUAUAUACAAUUACGUACCAUAAGGCCAUAGGCGAAAACUUGGAUGCCAGUGUUGCCAAGAGAGACGGCAGCGAGCUCAAGAUUGCCAAGAUGGCCGCAAAAGAUCUGAGUGGACAUGGCGACAAGGUUAUUGAGCAUGUAAACCAAGAUUGCUGGGGCUGCUAGGCGGAAGAGGUUUUUGAGUUCGAUCCAUGUUGCUUUCUUGAUUCUCUGAAAGAAUGACAAGCUGUCGUCCGACAGAGCUUCUUCAAGCUCAGAACUCACUGGCUCGACCUCCGACCCGUUGCUUUGCAACAUGGGUUCAUGGACAUUAUUAUUAUUAUCAGUGUUGGAGGAAUCCAUGUAAGUUCCUUCGCUCUUGUGAGUCUUGUCUCUCAACUCUCAACACACACGCAGCUACCUCCCCGUUAAUUAUUUAUAUAUAUGUAGGCGAUAUAAUAUGGCAUCUGCCACUUAACUUUCAAAGACAUACAUAGAAAGUUAGGUUAACACAAUAUGAAUAUAUGGCAAACGGGGAAAACUUCAUUUCAUUACAUACUGAUCGAUACAAGUGGAAAAAUCAUAUGAUUAUUUGAUAAGACAUAAAAUAUUAGGGAUUCAGAUGUAAUUAGCGUUAGUCUUACGUAAGAGAUUAUGUUUUUGAAUUUUGAGUUGUCAAUUAACAAAUAAACAAAAAAGGUGUUCAAUUUGUUGUCACCUCAAAGUUCCCAAUCAAUAUUCAUAUAUUGUUAGGUAGGUUACGUGUCAAAAUAUAUACUUUGCUGAACGAGAUUUUAUUUUUAUUUUUAAAAGAAAACGUGAAAUUUUUUUUUUUGGUCUUCUUCUAAUGCAAUUUCACAAAAAAUUUUUAAAUCUAGUUGCUUAAUUGUUUUUAUGUUCAUAUAUAUUUUUAUCAAUUGCACACAGAUCUUCAAAAACUUGGUCUUCAAUUAUGUAAUAGUUGUAAAAGUAAUUAAUCUCUUAUCAUACGUAUGUGAUUAGUCUGAAAAUUGAUCUCAUCUUGGCCCAAAAAAAAAAAAAUUAGAACAAAAAAGAAACAAGAAGGGAAAUUCUUUCGACUAAUUAUUUGCAACGAUUUCUCUACCUUUCUUUUUUUUUUUUUUUUUUUUUGGGUGCCAAUAUUCACAAAAUGUUAAGAAAAUGAAGCAUUUCCGAGAAAGCAGAUGAAUUUGGAAGGAAAGCAAGAAGCCAUUAUUAAUGCUCAAAAUGGUGAACAUCAAUAGAAUUGAUUGGAAAAUGUUGUCAAAAAUGGGAUACCAAUCAGGUAGUAACAUCCCAAGUUAACAUAAGCAAUAAAAGCUUGCCAUCCGAACCCAACAGCUACUCCUGGUGUCGUUUAAUAUAGGGAAAAUAUCCACCGUCCACCUGAUUUUGUCCAUUUUUUUAAAAAUACACAAAUCUUAAUUUUUUUAGCUGCGCUCCACCUGAACUUAUAAUUUUUUUCACAUUUCCACCUCCGUUUGCAAACCGUCAAGACGUUGCUGACGUCAUAAGGCUAAAAUGAUAAUUUCACUUGGGCUUAAAAAACGACGUCGUUUAAGAUCUGUAAUAAGCAAAAAAAAAAAUUAUUUCAGUUUCAAGAACCCAAACAAAAGCUUUGAUAAACUCGAAGCUCAAAGCUUAAUUAUUCUCUGGUCUCUACUCACCACAUUCGCAUUCAUGGCUGCACAAGACACACAAAUUGAGAGCGAAAAUAAAGACUCAAAAGAACCCAAAAACCUGUUCGCACACUUUACAAACUUAUUAUUUUCUGCUCCAAUAUUUAAUAAUAAGCAAGAGAGAAAUAAAAGUGAAGGUGAAGAAAGAGAAGCUGCAGAAGCAAGCAAGAAACGAGAGGUGGUGAAAUUUCCGCUUUUAAAAAAAUAAACAAAGAAAGAAAGAAAAAGCAAAGGCAAAGCCAAAAUCUUCUACUCUGAAAGUCAUCGACCGUAGUCAUGGCGGAAAACACAGAAAUCGCUUCCAGUCCCAGAAAACAAGAAAACAAAAGCAUACUCUCGCGGUUGCCGAAAUUCCAACUCAAUCUCCCUUUCUUCUUUAAUCAACAACCUAAGAAAGCAGAAGAAACUGUUGUUUCUAAAGGGACUGCCAAAACGUCAACGGUUAGUGAAGCCGAUGAAGGUAUGCUAGUAGUGUGAAGCCGAGCUUGGCUAGGUUUCCGGACGCCACGCGUCCGAUUCUUUCGCCGCAGAUUGAGCUCGAGGCCGAAGAGCCCGCCAGGCGGACUUCCAAUCCUGUCCUUCUCUGGCAGGUUCGCUUUCUUCCGUCUGUUCCUGUUUGGCUCCCGAGAAAAUGUGGGGUCCUUUUGUGUUGCGAGAUUGCGAGAUUGCGAGAUUGCGAGAUUGCGAGAUUUUAUAAUAUUUGUUUAAAAAAUAAAAUUUUUGAAAGGAUUUAAAGAUUUUCAGUUUUUAUUUAGGGCUACAAUACUCACAAAGCUAAUAUUUUGACGUUUAUUUAGGGUAAAUAUGUAAUUUUUUAUUUUUGGGAUUAAAAAGUAAUUUGGACAAAAUUCCGUUAGUUUUAUUGACGGUUUGCAGACGGAGGUGGAAAUGUGAAAAAAAUUAUAAGUUCAGGUGGAGCGCAGCUAAAAAAAUUAUGAUUUGUGUAUUUUUAAAAAAGUGGACAAAAUCAAGUAGACGGUAGAUAUUUUCCCUUUAAUAUAUCACAUCAAUUGCAGUAGCGUUAAUUAUUAAUGAUUUGAAUUUUGAAGCCACAACAAAUUAAUUAUGGGGAAAUGGAGAGGAAGAGCUGGAGCUAUGUAAUAAAUAUAAUAUGGCAACAGCUAGCAAUAAAAACGACGUUUAUCGUCUAAUUAUUUAGUACUUCUCAAUUAUUGAUUGACAUUAUAAUCAAAGGCCGACUGUUAUUAAAUUUUUUCACUAAAGUAAUUAAGGUAGCUCAUAUUUUUCAAUUAAUUAAAAGCAAUUAUAUUCCUAACGUAAAAUAAUCAUCGAGAGCAAAUAAUCAGUAGAAAAAUUAACGCUUGAAAGAGUUUGAUGCUUUUUAAAAUAUCAAUGGAGUUUGUAUUUAUUUAAUCAAAGAACAGGAACGUGGGUCUUUUUCCCCCACUAAUAACUGUAGAAAAGCAACAUUUAUUAAAGCUUGAGUUGACGUACAUACACUAAUGAACUCAUUUGCCUGUUUGUUGUGUUGUGUGGCGGUGUAUGCGAGCACGUGUUGUGAAAAUUUUAAUAUAUUUGUAAGUGUAUGAAUUUAGAGAUAAAAUAGUGAUAACGAGGUCGAUCCUACAAGGAUUAUUAUAAAUUAAAAAAUUUAAUUUAAAUUUAAAAUUAAUAUUAAUUCUAACCUAGUUGACCAAAUUAAGUUUCUAAGAAAAUUAAACCAAUUAAACUAAGGAAGCAAUUAAAAUAAAGGAGAAUUCAAUCAAAUAAAAAUUACUAAAGUUUUAAAAUCCACCACUAUUCAACUAGUAAUUACUGUAGAUUUUCUUCUUUGUCUCGGGUUUUCCUCCUCUGGCGGCUCCUCUCUCCAAAAGCCAAAACUCCCUUUUAAUAAUCUUUAAAAUGAGCCCCACCUCUUAAAUGCUAAAGCCAAAAGGCUUGGCCUUUUACUUGAUUUGCUCUCACACACGUCCUGGCCACUUAUAAUUGCUAAAGGACUCAUUUUUCCAAUUAUAAAAGUCAAGUGUGUGUCCCUUCUUAAAGCUAAAUCAAUUUCUCUCCUUUGUCCGCAUGUACAUGAUGAAUUAACUUGUUGAAUUCAGUUCCUUGGCUUGAUUUCCGCAUGCAUGUAUGUCUAAUUGCUUCCAAAAAUCAAUUAAUCUUUAAUGCUUACAAAUUAAAUUCCUUUAUGCUCUUUUUAUCCAUAAUCUCCAAUUAAUUUCCUAUUCAAUAAAAUAAUUUAAUUAAUUAAAAAUAAAAAUAACUAACAAUUAAAUAAUUAAAGAUAAAAUAUGUAUAUAAAUUAUGCUCAUCAGCACGUCGCCGUCUUGUGCAAAGCUAAAUAUCAACAACGUAAAUACUACCUUAUACAGCAAUGCGCGCGCUUUAAAUAAUUGACUAUUACAUAGUAAAUAGUAAAUAAACAUAUAAUUGGUUCCUGCAUCUUCAAUUCUGUGUCUUAUUAUUGACGUUAUUUGAUAAAAUGCAAUGCUGUGAAUAUUUACCUGUAUUACUAUCAUGGUUGGUUAAAAAAAAAAAAGGGUUAGGUGAGCGAGAAAGGAGAUGAUAAGCUAGGAGAAUAAGAAUUACCUGACAGAACAGGCUGGACGCCGUUGAGAAUUACGGAGAAAGCGAGAAAAGGGCUGAGUUCAGCAACGGAGUCGGCGACGGUGGAGCCGCCAGUGAAGGCAUAGCUCAAGACAUUGCGCAGUAUGAGGACAAGAAUGGCCAGAAUCACAGAGAGUGCGAGUGAAAUU